rnacentral:lncRNA from 1 species
AGGCAGCAGCUUUCAGGUAACCUAACAUCCGAGGAGGUGAUCCAGCCCACGCUCACAAGGAAGCCGUUCCCAGCCUUCCAUGGGAACCAGAUGAAGAAAUAAUAAAGAAAAUGCCAAGAAAAUUAGCCCCGCAAGCCAGGAAGCCCGGGGCCUUUGCUCAACCCACAGGCCACAAGAGGCAGUGCCAGGUCACCUCCUUCUGCAUCAUGGCUGGGCUGAGUGACCCUCACUGUGGACAAGGACCAUGCUGUAUACUCUGGGGGCUGCCAACACCCCCAGGGCCCGACCCUGCUGGAGGGUAAGCUCAUGUGAUCAAGGAGCUCUGAUGCCUCUGCGCAUGCGGUGAGGGCCAGGAGGCAUCUGACAGCAAUCCCGGGGCAGCCCAACCCAUGAAAUGGAGAGGAGUUAUGCCAACCAGAGGGGCCUGGGACAGGGCCUGCAGAGGAGACCUGAGUGACAGGGUCGUGGCCAAAAGAAAAGGUGCCUGGGCAUCCACAUACUCUUGUCCAUUCUGUCAUUCCUAAAUCUCUAUUCUCUGCAUUUCCAGUGGCUGCCUGGUCUGCAUCCUCAUCCACAGCUCAGGUCCCUCCCAGUUCCCUUUAUUGUCAGCCCCACUCCUGCUCUGCACAGGCUGUGCUCCUCCCCUGUGGCCAUGCCACCUCCCACUUACCCUCUGACCUCAGGGUGUCUGCAGAGCCCACUGCGGCUCCCUUGAACUGAGACCAAGGAGGCGCCG